rnacentral:tRNA from 1 species
GCCCAGGUGGUGGAAUCGGUAGACACAAGGGAUUUAAAAUCCCUCGGCCUGAAAACGGUCAUGCGAGUUCAAGUCUCGCCUUGGGCACCA